rnacentral:misc_RNA from 1 species
CAGUAUUCUUUUGCCAGCGCUUAACUGCGCGGCGAAAAACCUUACACACAGUGUCUUUUUGAUACAGAACUCUUGCUUUGGUUUGGCCUAGAGAUAGGUUGGGCCAGAGGUUUAACAAAACACAAUUUAAUUAUUUUUACAGUUGGUCAAAUUUUGAAUUAAUCUUCAAAACUUUCAACAACGGAUCUCUUGGUUCUCGCAUCGAUGAAGAACGCAGCGAAAUGCGAUAAGUAAUAUGAAUUGCAGAUUUUCGUGAAUCAUCGAAUCUUUGAACGCACAUUGCGCCCUCUGGUAUUCCAGAGGGCAUGCCUGUUUGAGCGUCAUUUCUCUCUCAAACCCCCGGGUUUGGUAUUGAGUGAUACUCUUAGUCGGACUAGGCGUUUGCUUGAAAAGUAUUGGCAUGGGUAGUACUGGAUAGUGCUGUCGACCUCUCAAUGUAUUAGGUUUAUCCAACUCGUUGAAUGGUGUGGCGGGAUAUUUCUGGUAUUGUUGGCCCGGCCUUACAACAACCAAACAAG